GGCCCAGCACAAGUGGCCUAAACAGUGGCCCCUGAGAGGUUGAGUCCUGGCCAUGCGGGCCAGAGAUUGAGUUUCCUGGCCACCAGGAAGGCAGCUAAGACCAGACAGGGACAGAGACAGGUUUUCAGGGCCAGAGAGGAGCAACGAGAGGGAACUUCUUAGUCACUCGGAGAAGCUCAGAACCAGAAAGUGAGUGAUAGGGUCCCUCUGCCCCAGAGGCCAGCAGAUUAGCGAAUAGAUUGAGUCAAUGCCUGGAGGCAGAGUACCAAGACCAGGCUAUCAUGGGCUUUUUAGGCCGGCUUUUAGAUUUCCUCCUGGCAGGUUUUAUAAGUGUGUUUUGAUCAGAUUGCAGAAAGCUACGCUCACGUGAGUAAGUCAAAUGUAGCUCGAUGCUUGUGAAGAAGUACAAGAUAGAAUAUCUUCUGUUUUAUGUGGUACCAAAAAUCACCAUUCCCUCGAGAAUGUAGCACAUUGUGAAAUGCUAAAAGUAAGACAUUCUAGCAACACUGUGUAUUAAUGUCAAAAUAAUUACAUCAGUACCGUUUUUCUCUAAAAUUAAUUUUUAAUUUACGUUCCAGUCAGAAUUUAUUGUCUUAGGGAGCCUUAGAGGUUAGCAUGCAGUCAGGGUCUGUGGGGAGAUUCUGUGUAGACUCCCUGUAGCCAGCAGUGGUUUCCGUUGUGUAGUCCUGGUGAGCUAAGGCUCCAUUUUGUUCUGUGCUAAGAGUGGUCUCAGCAGCUUCAUGCCCUGCACUGACUGAGUCACUGCCACUGCGUCCCCUAAAAGCUUCUGGGUGUGCAUGUCAGGGCCACUUACCCAGAGCUUCCUCUGCUACUGUAGAAUUUGAUUUUCUUAACUUUCAUGGUGGUCAAAGAGGACUUUUUCUUAACCUCCUACAUCUUUGGACCUCAUGGGUGACCCUGUUUAGACCCCAUGUCUGGCUUCCUGGCCACUUGUUAGCAUAGCACUUUGUCAAUGGGCCCAGGAGGUAACAGCCAAGACCAGUGUGGAGGGACUGCUGCUUGCCCGUUCCUCAUGGCUAAGUUUCCCGUUGACAAGUGCUGAAGUCUCUUCUAAAGACUCACCUUCGUGUCACCUCCCAGUCUGCCUGGAGUCAGCUUUUCAGUUGUCCUUGCCACUUAUCACUUCUCAGCUCAGUCUCUGACCAAUCAAGUUUCCAGAAGUCCUCUGUUCACCAUGCUCAUUUGAAAACUUUCCGGAGAGCUAGAUGGGAUAUGAGUCACUUGGGAUAUAGAUGAAGGAUACGGGAAAAACUUCUGCCUUUUGAAGCCUCACGAAUCCACGGCACACAAGUGUCAGGGCAGAAAGAAAACUCCAGUGGUUAAGAAGGGUGUAUUUUGGGGUUUGCCCCACUUGUGCCUUAAAACCGUCCCAUCUCAGCUCACCGUGUGUCCUCUAGGUGUACCAUAAAAACCCUGGGCAUCUGGGGUGCUCAGCAGGAGACUGUCUUUCCGCCAGGGCAGCCCCGUAGCAUCAUGCAUGAUCCCAGGAGACUGCCAGGUGUCUACGAGCACAGCAUCUUCAGCUUUGCAAUGGAAUUGAGCCGUUUCUGUGAUGUUAUCUUUGUUUAAACCUUGUCUUGUUUUGAACUUUCAGUUAGGAAGUGUGCCGUUUCAUUAGGUACCAAAGCACUUGCACUUUUAGGAACAUAGGUGCCACAUGGUAAAUCGCUAGGCCAUCUAGAGACUAAAGGUGAACCCCUAAUUGUAAGUAGAGAUAUCCCCUGCUCUUCCCAUGAUGCAAUACAGAGAAGAUGGAGGUCUGAGAUCACUGGAUAUGGCUGAGUGGUUUCCACCAAAUUGAAGAUAGGCCCGAGACGACUCUCCUCGGAGUCACUUGACUGUGGCGGUUUCGUGUGCACGCGAUUCAGGUGGCUGCAGCAGCACCUUUCCCAAAGUCAAGGCUAAUCAGCUGGUGGCUGCUGUGACCGCUGCAGAGCCACCUCUGGCUGCAGGCUCCCCUGUGCUGGCCCUUGCUUGUCAUCUGCAGGGCUUUGGUUCCACUCGCUAGCUGUGCCAGGAUUCUGUCUGCUUCUGGGCCUGCUCUGUGUUCAUCAUUUUUGUCGUCACGGUGCAGAGGUGUCGGAAGAGCUAGAGUGCGAACAAUAGCUACCCUGGAAAGAGCCUCUUGGAUCUUGAAACUCCCCCUGCUCCGUGAUUGGGUUUCCAGCAGUUCUGUCCUUGCCCAUCCCUCAUAUCUGGAAGCCAUGGUGUUGGCCGUCUGGGGCCUAUCAUCAGCUUCACCUGAAGGUUAUCAGACCUCCACCUGAGGUCUGGAUUCUUUCAAGCCAAAGUGCCUGCUCCUCUCCCCCACCCCCGUUCUUACUUUUCAUGGAUGAACUAGAGAAUGUCCGUGUGUAAAUCUGGUUGCUUUCCGCACUUAGGUCUCUUCUGUACUCACUAGAAAGCCGCAGAAGCACAUCUGUGCUGUGUCUCCCUCUGGAGCAGCCUUAUCCACAUUGCUUGCCAGAGUCCUGUGGUGGCCUCUCCUGUUCCCAUGUGUUUGGUGGAUAUAGUAUUCCUUCCCAGUUGUCCCUAAAACUGUGACGGGGGAGUCCCCACUCACUAAGCAUUACCAGCCAGCUAUGUGGCGUCCCCACACAAAGACCUUGUGUAGUUCCUUUUGCAAUGACAUAUUUAUUAAAUCUAUUUAUAUUUAUUUAAUUUUUACUCCGAAGUAUAUCCGGUUACAAUUGCACUUGCUGAAAGCACAUCAGAUCUAUUUUGGACAGUACCCCUGACCAUUCUAAAACUGGAAAAGGAAAAGUUACACUGUAUCCUGCCACCUUAUGGUAGCCUUGUCUUUAAAGGGUGAAUAAUUUGGUCUGGGUAGAAUGUUAAUUUUUGGAUGAUUUUUAAAAAAAAUCUUGUGCCAUGUGUCUUCUCUGUGGACAGUUAAUUGUUUAAUGGAUAUGUGCUGAUUGUGUGAUUCACUCCUCUUUGUGGGAACUAAAAUAUUCUUUUUAGCUUUAUAUUUUAUAAACUGCCAGAUUGUACAAUUUUAUGUGUAUUUUCAAAGCUCAUGAUAUGAGGGUCACUAAGUUAAACGGCCUAUUUUUUUACCUCUUGUACAGUUUUAUAAUUCUGCUCACUGAUGAAGGCGACUUAUGCUGAGCCAGCCACAAAUAAAGGUAGUUUUAGAUUUGGGAA
rnacentral:lncRNA from 1 species